GUGCUCACUUCGGCAGCACAUACACUAAAAUUGGAACGAUACAGAGGAGAUUAGCAUGGCCCCUGCGCAAGGAUGACAUGCAAAUUCGUGAAGCAUUCCAUAUUAAA
rnacentral:snRNA from 1 species